rnacentral:rRNA from 1 species
UUGGAAGUAAAAAGUCGUAACAAGGUUUCCGUAGGUGAACCUGCGGAAGGAUCAUUACCGAGUGCGGGUCCUUUGGGCCCAACCUCCCAUCCGUGUCUAUUGUACCCUGUUGCUUCGGCGGGCCCGCCGCUUGUCGGCCGCCGGGGGGGCGCCUCUGCCCCCCGGGCCCGUGCCCGCCGGAGACCCCAACACGAACACUGUCUGAAAGCGUGCAGUCUGAGUUGAUUGAAUGCAAUCAGUUAAAACUUUCAACAAUGGAUCUCUUGGUUCCGGCAUCGAUGAAGAACGCAGCGAAAUGCGAUAACUAAUGUGAAUUGCAGAAUUCAGUGAAUCAUCGAGUCUUUGAACGCACAUUGCGCCCCCUGGUAUUCCGGGGGGCAUGCCUGUCCGAGCGUCAUUGCUGCCCUCAAGCCCGGCUUGUGUGUUGGGUCGCCGUCCCCCUCUCCGGGGGGACGGGCCCGAAAGGCAGCGGCGGCACCGCGUCCGAUCCUCGAGCGUAUGGGGCUUUGUCACAUGCUCUGUAGGAUUGGCCGGCGCCUGCCGACGUUUUCCAACCAUUCUUCCAGGUGACCUCGAUCAGUAGACCA